rnacentral:tRNA from 1 species
GGACAUAGCUCAGUGGCAGAGCAUCUGCUUUGCAUGCAGAAAGUCCCAGGUUCAAUCCCCGGCAUCUCCA